CUUUUGCAAAAACAAACAAAAAUAUACAUUGAUAAAAGAAAAAAACUAUCUGAAAAUAAAAACAAUCAACUAACUAGCAAAAAAAUUAACAUCAUCUUUAAAUAUACUGCAUUCUUUGUUUAUAGUUUUCUAAGUUUCACUUUCACUAAAUAUAGUUUUGAAUGUGCUGCAAAUGUUUUCGUUUUCACUUUCCAAGUUUUCGUUUGCGCUUCGCAAAUUUACGUUCUCCAUUUUGACACAAACCUCUCGUGAGGGACGGGCUUAACAGCGGUUCGCUCUUAUUGGCUUGUGAGAUUUUGAUUGACAGCUCAUUGAACCGGAACCCCGGAACAGAAGGUGGCGGUAGUGCACCAAUAAGCUGGAUCCCAACCGCUGUUAAAAAUAACAAGAAGAAGACGAUCGGACGCUGUUUAUCAGCAGAGCUGCAAGUAGUCUAAACAAACGGUAAUAAGAGUAUAUUAAAGAACAUUAUUGGUAAUACACGGAUAUUUUACACGUCAGCAGAGGAAUAACAAUAGUUCAAGAUGAGUAAUCGAGAGGCUCACGGUCCAGAGCAACAACACCAUCCUCCUCGGCCGGACAAUCGAGGCAGCCUGAGAAUUGAGCCUCUAUGGUGUGAUGUUUGGUCAGCUGUCUCUUGUACUAUGAAGAACUGCAAUGGAAGAAGAGACAGUGCUUGAUUCGGCAGGUGAACUGCACCUAUUUUAUGGUGGAGCAACUUUUUCAAGAGGAAAUUGUUGACAUUGUCACAGAGGAUGAUGGUGUGGUCGUGGUGCCAGAGAUCUAUUGUCCUUUGUCAGACCAAAAGCCUUUGAUAUCACCAUUGAAUGUCUAGGAGUUAUACCAACAGACACUUGAUGUCAUCCAAAGACUGUGCUCCAUUUAAAUUGUAAAAGUCAUUUUCAGGUUUACAAGAUACAAAAGCUGGUUCACAGAUGUACCUUUCCUUUAAAACUAUUUCCCACCUGUAAUCACAAUGGAGACACAUCUCUGACUGCUGGGCUUCCCCUCUUAUUGUGUUCGGAUUCAUAUGCAUCUGCAGGGUUAUUCAUGGCAACACUUUAUAGCGUUGUGCUGGUAAUUUAUCUUUAUAUAUCAUGCCUUCUCACUACAUCUGUCAGCCUGUGCUUUACAUAUCUGAGAGUCAACGCAGCUAAACAUGAAGGACAAAUGCAAUGCAAGAUGUUAUGCAUGUUAUAUAUCGGCAUAUGGAUGAUUAGAUUAGAAACUGCUUUCUGUUGGUGUGUUUAAACAUCACAUGACAUAGAAAAUUAACUGUCCUCCAUUUUCCUCCUUAGAUUUAAUUUGUACUUUAGACUUCAAUGGGUACACUCUCAUGUGUGCUUACCAUCAUUUAUCAAAAUAUCUUCUUGGCAGAAUAAAGAAACUUAUAUAGGUUUACAACAACAUGAGACUGAGUAAAUAAUAACAGAAUUUUCAUUUUUGUGUGAACUAUCCCUUUAAGACUCUGUAAACCAUUCAGAUGCAUGUAAAAUCAUUAACAACUGUUAAACAGCAUCUAUAAAUGAUAAAAAAAGACAUUACUAUUGGGAGAAACA